rnacentral:rRNA from 1 species
CACGUAGGGCGCGAGCGUUGUCCGGAAUUAUUGGGCGUAAAGAGCUCGUAGGCGGCCUGUUGCGUCCGCUGUGAAAGCCCGGGGCUUAACCCCGGGUCGGCAGUGGAUACGGGCAGGCUAGAGGUAGGUAGGGGAGAAUGGAAUUCCCGGUGUAGCGGUGAAAUGCGCAGAUAUCGGGAGGAACACCGGUGGCGAAGGCGGUUCUCUGGGCCUUACCUGACGCUGAGGAGCGAAAGCGUGGGGAGCGAACAGGA